rnacentral:rRNA from 1 species
GACCAGACUCCUACGGGAGGCAGCAGUGGGGAAUAUUGCACAAUGGGGGAAACCCUGAUGCAGCAACGCCGCGUGAGUGAAGAAGUAUUUCGGUAUGUAAAGCUCUAUCAGCAGGGAAGAGAAUGACGGUACCUGACUAAGAAGCCCCGGCUAACUACGUGCCAGCAGCCGCGGUAAUACGUAGGGGGCGAGCGUUAUCCGGAUUUACUGGGUGUAAAGGGAGCGUAGACGGUUCUGCAAGUCUGAAGUGAAAGCCCGUGGCUUAACCGCGGAACGGCUUUGGAAACUGUGGAACUGGAGUGCUGGAGAGGCAAGCGGAAUUCCUAGUGUAGCGGUGAAAUGCGUAGAUAUUAGGAGGAACACCAGUGGCGAAGGCGGCCUGCUGGACGAUGACUGACGUUGAGGCUCGAAAGCGUGGGGAGCAAACAGGAUUAGAUACCCGGGUAUU